rnacentral:rRNA from 1 species
UACGGAGGGUGCAAGCGUUAUCCGGAUUCACUGGGUUUAAAGGGUGCGUAGGAGGGCAGGUAAGUCAGUGGUGAAAUCCCCGAGCUUAACUUGGAAACUGCCAUUGCUACUAUCAAUCUUGAAUACCGUGGAGGUCAGCGGAAUAUGUCAUGUAGCGGUGAAAUGCUUAGAUAUGACAUAGAACACCAAUUGCGAAGGCAGCUGGCUACACGAAUAUUGACACUGAUGCACAAAAGCGUGGGGAUCAAACAGG